rnacentral:rRNA from 1 species
CCUACGGGUGGCUGCAGUGGGGAAUAUUGGGCAAUGGGCGCAAGCCUGACCCAGCAACGCCGCGUGAAGGAAGAAGGCUUUCGGGUUGUAAACUUCUUUUGUCAGGGAAGAGUAGAAGACGGUACCUGACGAAUAAGCCACGGCUAACUACGUGCCAGCAGCCGCGGUAAUACGUAGGUGGCAAGCGUUGUCCGGAUUUACUGGGUGUAAAGGGCGUGUAGCCGGGUUGACAAGUCAGAUGUGAAAUCCUGGGGCUUAACCGCAGAACUGCAUUUGAAACUGUUGAUCUUGAGUACUGGAGAGGCAGGUGGAAUUCCGAGUGGAGCGGUGAAAUGCGUAGAUAUUAGGAGGAACACCAGUGGCGAAGGCGGUCUGCUGGACAGCAACUGACGGUGAGGCGCGAAAGCGUGGGGAGCAAACAGGAUUAGAUACCCUUGUAGUC